rnacentral:lncRNA from 1 species
GUGAUGCAAUAAAUAAAACAUUAGCCAAAGAGUGACUGUGUCUUUCUCUGCUUUUUCUUUCUACAGGUUGUAUUUCAUGUGGAUGUGGGUAUGAUGUGCCACAGCAACAUGAUGUCUUGAUUAGGUUCUUCAAACCCAAGAGAAAUUUCAAGCAGAAGACUAUGAAUGUUGCAGACCUUCUUUUCCCUUCUUUUGUCACAGCUGAUAGGGGCUGUGUAUUCUCAGUCCAUGAGAAGAGCUAAAGAGAAGCAAAUUUUCACUUCAAUGCUUGAGAAUACAUUUUACACAUUAUUUAUAACAUUGGUGGGAUUUAAACUAUUUUGAAUUUCUGUAUUUAUUUACUUUUUUUUCUCAUAAUGUUAGAUCCUUAUCAAAAGUUUUCUUGUUAAGUGAACUUUGGUAUAGAAUUAAUGUUUUCUAUCCAGACUUCCCUAGAAAAUAUAGCAGUUGUGUCACUAUGGAUUAAUGUUAUAUAACCAUGAUAUACCUACUCAUUUGUUGAUGACCAAUUUUAAAAAGAUUCUAUAAUGUGGAAUCCAUUAUGGAGAAUGGGUAUAAGAAUAUGUUUCUUACCUUUUUCACAAAUGAAUUGAGAACAUCCAUUUUGGUUGAAUGCAAUUAAUUAUUUUUACUAACAGUUAAAAUAUAUGGCAUAAAAAUAUAAUACUUAAAUAAAAGCAGGUGUAUAUUUCCA